AGUACCUGCCCACAAAGGCCCACGGAGCCAUGGCUUCUUCCCAGUGGUGAUCCCUGAUGGGCUGGAAGGUGACCGAACCGCUUGUCCUUUAUAAGCUGGGCUUGCUGCUUGCCGUUGAGGAAGAGCUUGUCAUGGGUGUCAGCGUUUAAAAGUGGAAUUAGAGACGGGGUUUCACCGUGUUGGCCAGGAUGGUCUCCAUCUCUUGACGUCGUGAUCCACCCGCCUCGGCCUCCCAAAGUGCUGGGAUUACAGGCGUGAGCCACCGCACCCGGCCGAUAUUACAAAAUCUUUCCUGAGGCUGGAAGUCCAGAAGUCGGGGUGCUGGCAGGACGUGCUCUUCUGAAGCCUCCAGGGCAGGGCCAGCCGCAUGCCCGUCUCCUCGCUUGGGCACCUGCCAGCGGUCCCCGGCGGUCCCCGGCUCAUUGCUGCAUGGCUCCAACGUCCGCCUCUCCCACCAUGUGGCCUCCUCCUGGUGUCUCUGUGUCCAAAUCUCCCGCUCUGUCUAAGGAUAACAGUCACUGGUCAUGGGACCCAUCCUAAUCCAGGGUGACCUCGUAUUAACCUCAUCACAUCUGCAAAGACUAUUUCCAAGUCAAGCCACACUCCCAGCUGCUGGGGGCGGGACUUGAACAUAUUUUUUGUGGGGACACAAUUCCCCUCUCAGGUUUUAAGAUUUGUCUUUAUCAUUAAAGUUUUCAAAACUAA